AUGCACUCAGAAUGCGAUGAGCCAACUCAUCUAAACUUUCAACGCGGUCAAGUGGAAAAGAAAAACGAUUGCGAUGCGUUUGCUCUUAGCCGCAUCUUAGCACAACUCUCACUGUCAGGAGUUACAACGUGACGUAAUAAUCAUGCUUGGCGACUGAACGAAUUUCGGAAUGCGGGGAUGUAAACCCGGCACAACUUCGGUGAUGUAUAAAAGAGGAUUUACCCAAUUCUGUUUUUACGUUCUCACAAAACUAUACGUUUUUGUUACGCAAAAAAGGCUGCAGCUUUGUAAAAUUAUAAAAUUUAAAGAAAUUUUCGCGUGCAACGACUGGAUACUACGUUCGCUGCCUGCAAACGCAAGAGAAUCCAACCGAGGUCGUACCGAUUUCCAUGACCGAUUCAAUAUUGCCACAAUUUUCAAAAUUCAUUAUAUUUUCAGGACAAUUUUCAAAGGAGAAAAAAAAAGAGAGAAAAAGGAGACUCAAACAGAACUCAAAAUUUAACGAAAUCUGACUGAUAGAUACGCACCCCGACGGUAUCCAGCGAAUUGUACACCUAAAAGCGAUACCGCGUGAAAAGGGGGACUGUACAAAUAUGACGAGCCCAUUAAGCUUACAUGCACAAGUGUCUUCACUUUUAUGUGAUCCCAAAGCAGAUAUUCUUAUACGUGAUUAAACUUAUUUCUUAUUAUAUGGGCACAUGUAAUUGUGUAUAAUUAUUUUCUGCAUUUAAGUACUUUUAUUUAUUAUUUUCAGAGACGUUUAUCAGUUGGUUUAUCAAGUAUAAGAAUAUCGCUUUACUCAUGCGCAAUUUCAUGUACGAAGAUACUUAUCACAAUUCUUGCUACAGAUUGUGUUUAGUUUCGUCUAUGUAGAGAGUAUCGAAAUUAUACAAACAUAUGAACAUAUUAAUGUAUAUAUAGAUAUAUAGUUUGGAAUGCAGACAAUGUAAAAACGCAGCUAUCUAUCUCCUGCAUUACCUACACAAUACUAUUGUAUUAAAUAGCGAGAGCUUUGUCUGAUCGAAA